rnacentral:rRNA from 1 species
CCUACGGGAGGCAGCAGUGAGGAAUAUUGGUCAAUGGACGCAAGUCCGAACCAGCCAUGCCGCGUGCAGGAAGACGGCUCUAUGAGUUGUAAACUGCUUUUGUACGAGGGUAAAUCCCGAUACGUGUAUCGGGUUGAAAGUAUCGUACGAAUAAGGAUCGGCUAACUCCGUGCCAGCAGCCGCGGUAAUACGGAGGAUUCAAGCGUUAUCCGGAUUUAUUGGGUUUAAAGGGUGCGUAGGCGGUUCGAUAAGUUAGAGGUGAAAGCCCGGGGCUCAACUCCGGCACUGCCUCUGAUACUGUCGGGCUAGAGUGUAGUUGCGGUAGGCGGAAUGUAUGGUGUAGCGGUGAAAUGCAUAGAGAUCAUACAGAACACCGAUUGCGAAGGCAGCUUACCAAACUACGACUGACGUUGAGGCACGAAAGCGUGGGGAGCAAACAGGAUUAGAUACCCCUGUAGUC